GUUCAUCACAAAUAUCAUUUGUUUUUCAACUGAAACGGAAUUGAAUUUAUAUAGGUUAAUUUUGAGAGGUAUCAUUUUACCAUCUUCCAUAUGUUAAUGUGGUAUGUCUUUUUAUUCAAGUCUUUAUGUGUUUGUAUUUAUAUUCUACUUAUUACCUUCAAUAUUUCUUAGUUUUUGAACGAAAUAGACAUCUUAGGAACUACAACUCUGAGAUGUAGAAGAUGUCAUCUGCAUAGACUAGGGCUCAUUGAAGGCCAUUCAGUAUGUUUUGAGAUUGAUGUUACCAUUUCUUCUAGAAGUUCCAAGGAACCUGCCUUAUUUAUAAAAAUAUUUUAUAUUCCUGGUUUGGGUAAGUGUACAAGUGUGAGCUAAUUUUAGGAAAAUUGCAUAGUGAGCCAUUUGUUUUGGUAAUGUCAGCAUCCUCUUGACUUUUAUCUUUCCAUGUAGAAGUACUUCCUUCAUCCUGUAGUUUCCUGGAGAUUUAGAGCUCAUUGUCAAUAGGAUUUGUAGCACUUGAUGAUCUUUAUAUCUUCUAAUAGAGAGCUAACUGGUUGUCUUCCUGGAAAGUAUUUAGAACUAGGGAGGUAAGAAUUCUAUUGUGUUUGAUGGUUUUAUUUCUGUGUUAAGGACAAUUCUGAUAGGGAGUUAAAGGACUUGCAUGAUACAGAGAGUGAUCUGACCUUAAAUCCUCUGAGAAUCAUCAUAGGAAUUAGUACUGUUUAUUUUGUAGGGAAGAACUCAAAAGAGUUAAGUGCUGUGUUUUCAGGUCAGGGAUGGUUGGAUUUUGCUGCUUUUUCCAGGCAGUUGUAAUUAAUAGAAAAGUAGAUUUAAGAACUGUUUAGCUAGCACAGUGGCAUACCUAUAAUCCCUGCUGAGGCAGGAGGAUCUUAAAUUCAAGGCCAACCUUAGCAACUUAGUGAGACCUAAGCAACUCAGUGGGAAAAGGGUUGGCGAUGUACCAAAGUGGUUACAUAUCCCUGGGUUCAAUCCUUGGUACCAAAAAAAAAA
rnacentral:lncRNA from 1 species